UCGUCGGCAUUUCGAUUUAACCACUCCCUAGUGUAAGUUUUCAAAAUUUCGCUGGUGUAAACGGCUUUCCGUACCUUUUUAGAGAGAAAAUGGCCGACGAUUAAUGACAUUAGUUACUUUUUCUUGACAUUUGUUUGAUCGCCGUCUUACAAGGUUCUGUGCUUACAAGGCGACGGCUUAUUAAUUAAGGGGCUCUUUUAUGUGGGUUAGAGGUUAGGGUACGCAUUUUCAGUGCACAUACACCGACAUUAUCAAACUGUGGAAUCGAAAGUGCAGUAUAAAUCUGCACUGCCACAAUUGAUGGUGUAAGCAGUUAACAGUUUACCAUCUCGUUAACAAAAGGUGGACAUCAAUAAAAUGGGCAAGUACGACUCAAAGGAUGGUGCACGAAGAAUGACCACAUGACUGGCAGUUCGUAUUAAUAUUUCCAUCAGUCUUAUUUGUGCUGCCAUGGACGAUACUGACUUAUGGCUUGGUUCUUCUGAAUCACAGAACUCUGGUGCUUGUACUAAUAAUGCAUCAUUAGAAGAUUUACACAUUUUAAUGAAAUGUUACCAGAACUGUUAUAAUUUAUAAGAAACUACAUGAAGUAUUUAAAGAGAUAAAGCGUGAAGCAAAAGCAAGUGAUGUAAAGAAGCAGAUCAAUUCAC